UACGAAGGGGGCUAGCGUUGCUCGGAAUCACUGGGCGUAAAGGGUGCGUAGGCGGAUCUUUAAGUCAGAGGUGAAAUCCUGGAGCUCAACUCCAGAACUGCCUUUGAUACUGAAGAUCUUGAGUUCGGGAGAGGUGAGUGGAACUGCGAGUGUAGAGGUGAAAUUCGUAGAUAUUCGCAAGAACACCAGUGGCGAAGGCGGCUCACUGGCCCGAUACUGACGCUGAGGCACGAAAG
rnacentral:rRNA from 1 species